CGGUAAUACGUAUGUUCCAAGCGUUAUCCGGAUUUAUUGGGCGUAAAGCGAGCGCAGACGGUUAUUUAAGUCCGAAGUGAAAGCCCACAGCUUAACUGUGGAAGGUGCUUUGGAAGACUGGAUAACUUGAGUGCAGUAGAGGAGAGUGGAACUCCAUGUGUAGCGGUGAAAUGCGUAGAUAUAUGGAAGAACACCAGUGGCGAAGGCGGCUCUCUGGACUGUAACUGACGUUGAGGCUCGAAAGUGUGGGUAGCAAACAGGAUUAGAUACCCUGGUAGUCCACACCGUAAACGAUGAGUGCUAGAUGUUUGAGGGUUUCCGCCCUUAAGUGUCGCAGCUAACGCAUUAAGCACUCCGCCUGGGGAGUACGACCGCAAGGUUGAAACUCAAAGGAAUUGACGGGGACCCGCACAAGCGGUGGAGCAUGUGGUUUAAUUCGAAGCAACGCGAAGAACCUUACCAGGUCUUGACAUCCUUUGACCACUUCAGAGAUGAAGCUUUCCCUUCGGGGACAAAGUGACAGGUGGUGCAUGGUUGUCGUCAGCUCGUGUCGUGAGAUGUUGGGUUAAGUCCCGCAACGAGCGGCACCCUUAUUACUAGUUGCCAGCAUUCAGUUGGGCACUCUAGUGAGACUGCCGGUGACAAACCGGAGGAAGGUGGGGAUGACGUCAAAUCAUCAUGCCCCUUAUGACCUGGGCUACACACGUGCUACAAUGGCAAGUACAACGAGCAGCUAACCCGCGAGGGUACGCGAAUCUCUUAAAACUUGUCUCAGUUCGGAUUGUAGGCUGCAACUCGCCUACAUGAAGUCGGAAUCGCUAGUAAUCGCGGAUCACCGCAGCCGCGGUGAAUACGUUCCCGGGUCUUGUACACACCGCCCGUCACACCAUGAGAGUUUGUAACACCCAAAGCCGGUGAGGUAACCUUUUAGGAGCCAACCGUCUAAGGUGGGACAGAUGAUUAGGGUGAAGUCGUA
rnacentral:rRNA from 1 species